rnacentral:rRNA from 1 species
UACGAAGGGGGCUAGCGUUGUUCGGAGUUACUGGGCGUAAAGCGUGCGUAGGCGGUGGUCCAAGUCUGGUGUGAAAUCUCCCGGCUCAACUGGGAGGGUGCGCCGGAAACUGGGCCGCUGGAGUAUGGGAGAGGCAAGCGGAAUUCCAGGUGUAGCGGUGAAAUGCGUAGAUAUCUGGAGGAACACCCGUGGUGCAGACGGCUUGCUGGACCAUAACUGACGCUGAGGCACGAAAGCGUGGGUAGCAAACAGG